rnacentral:rRNA from 1 species
GAUGAACGCUGGUGGCGUGCUUAACACAUGCAAGUCGAACGAGAAGUGAAGACGGAAACCUUCGGGCGGAAGGCUUUAUUUCGAGUGGCGGACGGGUGAGUAACGCGUGGGUAACCUGCCUCAUACAGGGGGAUAACAGUUGGAAACGACUGUUAAUACCGCAUAAGACCACAGCACCGCAUGGUGCGGGGGUAAAAACUCCGGUGGUAUGAGAUGGACCCGCGUUCGAUUAGCCAGUUGGCGGGGUAACGGCCCACCAAAGCGACGAUCGAUAGCCGAUCUGAGAGGAUGACCGGCCACAUUGGGACUGAGACACGGCCCAAACUCCUACGGGAGGCAGCAGUGGGGAAUAUUGCACAAUGGGGGAAACCCUGAUGCAGCGACGCCGCGUGAGUGAAGAAGUAUUUCGGUAUGUAAAGCUCUAUCAGCAGGGAAGAAAAUGACGGUACCUGAGUAAGAAGCCCCGGCUAACUACGUG